UAACCGGUACUGAAAGGUGCCGCUGAACGGGCAGAAGUCAGCAGACGGCAUAGUACCUGUGGAGGGACGCCAAAACAGGGAAGGCC
rfam:Alicyclobacillus acidoterrestris ATCC 49025 contig_152, whole genome shotgun sequence.